GUGUGUAUUAAUAACGAAAUCUUACAUAUGACAGUGAGAGCGAUAGCGAUAU
rnacentral:guide_RNA from 1 species